rnacentral:rRNA from 1 species
UACGGAGGGUGCGAGCGUUGCUCGGAAUCACUGGGCGUAAAGCGUACGCAGGCUGUUUCGUAAGUCGGGUGUGAAAGCCCGGGGCUCAACCCCCGGAAUUGCGCCCGAGACUGCGGAGCUUGAUGCGGGAGAGGGAAGCGGAAUUCCUGGUGUAGAGGUGAAAUUCGUAGAUAUCAGGAGGAACACCGGUGGCGAAAGCGGCUCCUGGCCCGACAUUGACGCUCAUGUACGAGAGCGUGGGGGAGCAA